ensembl:rRNA 5S_rRNA 5S ribosomal RNA
GCUAGCAGCCAUAUCACCCUGCAACUCACAACUGGCAACCCACUGAAGCUCAGCAGGUGUGAGCCUGGUCAGUACCUGGAUGGGAGACCUCCUGGGAAAAACUAAGGUUGCUGCUGGAA